rnacentral:misc_RNA from 1 species
GAUGAAGAACGUAGCGAAAUGCGAUAAGUAAUGUGAAUUGCAGAAUUCAGUGAAUCAUCGAAUCUUUGAACGCACAUUGCGCCCGUCAGUAUUCUGGCGGGCAUGCCUGUUCGAGCGUCAUUUCGCCCCUCAAGUCCCCUGUGGACUUGGUGUUGGGGAUCGGCGAGGCUGGUUUUCCAGCACAGCCGUCCCUUAAAUUAAUUGGCGGUCUCGCCGUGGCCCUCCUCUGCGCAGUAGUAAAACACUCGCAACAGGAGCCCGGCGCGGUCCACUGCCGUAAAACCCCCCAACUUUUUAUAGUUGACCUCGAAUCAGGUAGGACUACCCGCUGAACUUAAGCAUAUCAAUAAGCGGAGGA